GAAAAAAAGGGAAAAUCUUUGCAUAGCACUCUGAGUUAUUAAUAAAAAAUGCUUGAGUUUUUGUAUCUCUGCCCCUCGGGGUAUGAGUAAGGUCUGCCCUACUUCUGGGAUUAUACUGGGUUGUUGUUGUUGUCGGUGCUGCUGUAGUUGCUUAUUUUUUGUAUAAAACUCUGAAUUAUUGAUGCAGCUUUGCAUUACUAAUAUAGUUUUGGGUUCAACUUCAUUGUAUAUUGUAAUUCCUUCAGGGCUUGUUUGGUUUGUUGUAUGAGAAAAUAGAAAUUUGGCGUAUAUAUAGCAAAGUUGUUGCAAUCCUUUGAUGGUGGUAUCUUAGAGGGUGUUUGCGUAUAUAAACACUUUUUACCUUAUCUACCGCAUUUGGUAAAUGCUAAAGUGCUUAUAAUCGAAUCAGCCAAAAGCUUAAGUUGGCUGCUUACCAACUUAUGGCUUUUUAGCUUAUAACACUUUUGGUUUGAGUUUUGACAAAGCUUUUUACUAUUUUAUCCAAACACUCCAAUUGUUUAUUAUCAAUUUCAGCACUUUAUAAAAUCAUUUUCAGCACUUAAAUGUGUUUCUCAACACUUAAUACUUAUCAACUACUUUUAAUCAGCUAAUCCAAAUAGAUUCUUAGAGGAAGUAGUGUUAGUUUUGUCCUUUGUGUUAUGCUUCAUUAGUACAAUCAGCUAUUCUCAUUAUCACUUCACUCUUUCGUUUAUAUACUUAUACUAACUGUAUGUCUUUAGUACAGGGCUUCUUUGUUUUCUAGUCUUUGAUCCAUAUCCAGGUCAUUGACUAUGUCAGAUGAUGGAUAGUGAUUAUAUUUUAUCACUACUCUCUAGCAUGAAGAUUUUGAUAGUUAUUUUAGAAAUUUUAUUAAAUUGACUCGUAUUGUAUUUCACGAUUCAGGCAUUUCAGAUAACAAAGUAAGCACGUAAAUUGAACUUGAAAAUGCAAAUUGUGAUUUUUGUCCGGCCGCUGCUUAUUUUUCUUGAGUUUAUAUUGAGCUAUCCAGGCUUCAAUAGAUGAUGUAUUAAAUUUUAUUCAAGCAUCUUUUGAUCUCUGUCUGUAGUAGCUAACUGAAUUUUGUGAUGCAGGUUACACAUGAUACUGAUCAUCACCGCUUGCACACUUUCGCACGACCAAAUGUGUACAAUGUGAAGCAAAACAAGACAUAAUGUAGAUACUUAUCUCUCAAAAGAACUUGUAAAAGAAACUAUCUCUUUCAAAACACGGCAGCAUGAGUUCAUUUGUUUGACUUGAAGCCAUGUGUUAGUAAAAUGUUUUCCUGAAUUUGCUUCUUCAUGUUUCCCACAUUUAAUCUUUUGAUGUCCAAGAGUUUGCAUAAAAUAGAGAAUUACUUACCAAUCAAAAAAUAAAAAUAAAAGAUAAGAAAUAGAGCAAUUACACAUGCAAAGUAUGGGUAUAACCUAUAAGAAUACCUUUUUGCUGAGGAAUCCAUGUUUUGCUCGGCUUGUUGAAUGUAUUGCUUGUGCUGUUAAAUCUGCUUGACUUCUGCAUAAAGUAUGAAAUGGGCUGUCAUUUGUCAGUUUCUCCACUGGAAUAUUAAAUGAAGCUAAUCCAUUUGAAGAAUUGGCUGGCUCUGUGAUAGAGCCAAAUAAUCAAUAAUAAGAACUUCGAAGUUAAUGAUUGUUGUCCCAUAAUCUUUGUGAGAGGAUUUAGAUGACGAUCGACUUCCUAGGAUGAACUUGGAUGUUGUUUUUUGGGUGUGUGUGUGUAUAUAUAUAUAAGCAAUUGUGUGCUUAAUAUCUGAAUUCACUAAAAUCUAAAGAUAUUGCAGUUAUUCCUUUCUUUGUAUAUUUCCGAGGCUUAGCUGGGUUUGUUGUUGUUGUUGUUGUUGUUGUUAAGUUUUCCCUGAUAAGGAUGCUCGUAAUAAAAGCUAAAGUUUGAAAUUAUCUAGUUGAUUUGACAACAUUCUUCAUUUGUAUUGUCAAACAAUCAUGGUCUUGUGAGUUCUUACUUCACAAAUCCCAUAGAUAUUCUGUCCUAAAUUAAUUGGUAACUUCUUAUAGAUGAAACAUAGAGUCGCUUCUUCUUGAAAUCGCUAAGGUGUAGAUUGCUAUAUCUGUUCCAUACUUUUGAAGUUCCUCAUUUUGGAAGUAAGAAAUGUGAUGGAAUUUCUUUACAUGUGAACUUAUGUGACUAAGUGUUGAAGAUCUCCCUUCUCGCAACAUCAUUAUUUCCCUCUCUUAAUUGACAGAUGAAAGUAUUGGUAAUAUUUUCAAUGUUGUCUCUUGAGGGUUCAUUAUUGUAGUAAUUUUCUUCUCAAGGAUCAUGGGGGUAUCCACUACGUUUUCUUUAUUCUGCUUUGCCUAUCUCUAUGAACACGAAUCAAGUUCAAUGUUUCUUUCUGUUGUUUUGAUGCUUGUCUCAUGACUUAGCUAACUGGGAACUACCCUUAUACCCCUCCCUCGCCUGCUCCCUCCCUCCUCUCCUCCUGUUUUGUAUGUGGGGAUAGUGAGUGAUAAUGAUCUGGUAGGGAAGCUGAUGUGUGGCGUAUCGUGGAGCGACUAGCAUUCAUUAUUUCGC
rnacentral:lncRNA from 1 species